UGAAAUAUUUCAAAAUCUAAUUUGGGAAGAAGCAAGGUCGUUUGCUUACAUGAGAACUGUGAUGAUACAGUCAACGCAUCAGUUGAUAGUUGCGUUGGAGAUGAAGAAAAGUAAACUAUCAACAUCUCUUUCCUACAGGUGUUAUCUAUCAACAUUUCCAUCUUUCUCACCCAUCCUAUAUCUCCCUCUGCUCCAGUUCAGACCCAUAAAUUUCCCUCAACCUCUCCAUCUCCCUUCGUAUCCUCCCCAGUCACCACCGGCCACCUCCUCCGCCGUCUUGCUAGAUCAUACCAUGACGCCACCUACUGACCAGCUUGCGAAUCCUACCAUGCUUAACAGUUGACUACCUAAACCUGUACACACCUAAACUACAUGUGCACAAGACACUUGUAUGCUCCUGCUAAUUAAUCAAGCCUAAAUUCACUUGUUUGACCGGAUGGAUCCUUUGUUGAUUCCUAAAUUCACUUGUUUGACCGGAUGGAUCCUCUGUUGAUUCAUCCGCUCUGAGAUGGAUGGAUCAGAUCCCUGGCUUCACUUGAGCACAUCUGGGAUCGAUGAGUGGGUCGCUCAACUCCAUCGUCUGAAGCUUCUGCUCCAGCCCCCGGACGGACCUCAAACCUUGAAUUCAUCGAUCAUACGGUGGCAUAAAACUACAAUAUCAUCAAAAACAACUACUGUGAGGAACUCAAAUCAAAUAAAUAGAGACAUAUAUUGUUCAAAGAGAAAUUUGAGGUGCUUCGCAUUAAUCCAUAUAGAAAAAGAGCAGCAAUUUAACAACCAUAUGAAGGCACGACCCACAACUUGCUUAGGCUACUGUAUAGUGUGCAUUGUUCUGGAGGCCAUGAUCCACCCACAGCAGAAUCCCUGACCUUUUUUGCCCCAAAAUCGUACAUAAUAUUAUGCACAGAAUUAUCCAAAUUGCUACUAAAAGCUACCAGCCAAUAGCAAGAAGAACAAAAAGAAAUUCUUAGUAUUCUAUAUGUAAGUGUUUAAACAAAACUUCUACCUGGCUUUUCAAGGGAAAAAGGUAGAAGGAUGUAAGCUAGUACUUUAGCACUAAAAAGUAAUGUUGCAUUAGAAUAGUAGGAGUACAGAAAAAAAAAUAGAAGAACCAUCUCAAUAGCAGAAUUCUUCUACCAUCAGAAUUCUCACUACCACCAAGAUCAAAAGCUCAGCUCGACAAACUGAUUUAACUAAUGCUAAAUAAACUAAUGAUUUUCUGAAAAAUUUCUCCAAGUAAACAACACACCUCUUUCAAAUGUAGUUGUCGACUUGAAUGGAAUACUCGCAGCAGUGAGCAGUCAACAUGCGUGUUGUAUUCUCUCUAUGACCAUUUACCCGCCAACCUAUUGCAAGCCCACAACUACACGGUGCUACUCAUUUGUUUGGGAGAUUGCAGACGCAGCUGCAAGUCAACAUGUGCCCCAAGUGCAUGUCUGCAGCUCCAUGUCGUUCUGUGAUGUUGACAACAUGUGCUUAGCUCAAGAGAUGGAGACAUUAUCAAAGAAUCAUAAUUUAAUUAUCUGUGUAUGCCAUGAUAACAUAAAAAGGACAUCACAUUGCUGGAGGCAUGAAACCAAGUGCCAGAUUAUACAGUUUCAUAUACACUUUUAUGGUUUUAUUCAUAUAUCAUAUGGUGUGUCGACAAAAUGGCACUACUGCAUGAGAUGCAUUAAUUCUGAAUAUGCAAGUCUAGGACAGCACUGCUCUAGUAAUAAUAUAUGUGUCACUAUGACAUAAUUUCCAGAAUAUUCAGUUAGCAGUUGGAUGAGUACUAUUUUAUAUCAUCUCAGAUUCCUAUCAACAUGUCAUCCAUAGUCCUUGUUCUUAUCAUGAUGUGAUUCUUGAGAUGGACACUAAUAUGAUAAAUUUUCUACCUGCACACAAUUGUAACCUGCCUUUAUAUUAGUAUAAAUAAAAACAGAUACUAAAAUAGUUAUCCAGGAAGGGUAGCUUCCUAGUUGUAAUUAUACCUAAUUGUAGAACUCUGGGUACGAUCUAGUGUGAACGACGCACCUCCUGACCUCCAGAUAUAUUACUUUGCAGAGGGAACAAUCAAAUCGAUCAACAUAUUGGAUUGGCCUGCUUGGGACGUAGCUAGUAAGUCAGCUAGCUUGGAUUGGGACAUAGCUAAUAAGCCUUGUGAAAUCAAUCCAGUGGCCUGCUUGGACGUAGCUGGUAAAUCAAUCCCAGCCGAAAACGUCCCAAGCACCAGCAGGAAU
rnacentral:lncRNA from 1 species